AAUUUGAGGUCAAACUUUAAGAACAUUGUUCGCCUAGACGCUCUCUUCUUAUCGAUAACGUUCCAAUACGCUCAGUAUAAAAAAGAUUAGCCGCAGUUGGUAAAACCUAAAACGACCGUACUUGCAUUAUACCUCAAGCACGCAGAGAAACCUCUCUUUGGAAAAAAAAAACAUCCAAUGAAAAGGCCAGCAAUUUCAAGUUAACUCCAAAGAGUAUCACUCACUACCAAACAGAAUGUUUGAGAAGGAAAUGACGCUCAAACAGGCAUGCCCCCUGGAAUACCAAGGGGCGCAAUGUGCGUUCAAAGAUUCGAUGAUUCACGGAAUUCUGCAAUUCACAUUACGUAUCGCAUUUCGCUGCGUUCUUCAUCGAUGCGAGAACCAAGAGAUCCGUUGUUGAAAGUUUUUAAUAUUUUAAAAUUUCCAGUUACGAAAAUUCUUGUUUUUGACAAAAAUUUAAUGAAUAGAUAAAAUUGUUUGUGUUUGUUAACCUCUGGGCCCCGAUUGCUCGAAUGCCCAAAGAAAAAGUUGCAAAGAUAUGAAAACUCCACAGUGUGUUGUAUUGAAACGGUUUUAAUUGUCCUAUAACAAAAGCACAGAAAUCUCUCACCGUUUGGAAUAGCAAGAAAGAAACUUACAAGCCUAGCAAGACCGCGCACUUAAGCGCAGGCCCGGCUGGACUCUCCAUCUCUUGUCUUCUUGCCCAGUAAAAGCUCUCAUGCUCUUGCCAAAACAAAAAAAAAAACCCUUUUUCAAAAUUUUAAA
rnacentral:misc_RNA from 1 species